rnacentral:tRNA from 1 species
GUUUUUGUAGUUGAAUAACAACGGUGGUUUUUCGUGCCGCAGGUUUUGGUUGAUGCCAAAUAAAAAUA